UUUUGGCCAAUGGGCGCAAGCCUGAUCCAGCCAUUCGGGUGGAGUGAAAAAGCCCUUCGGUUUUAAAAGCUUUUUGGCAAGGGGAGAAAGUUUAAUCUUUAAUAUUGAGUGAAUAUGACGGUACCUUGAUAAGAAGCACCGGCUAACUACGUGCCAGCAGCCGCGGUAAUACGUAGGGGGCGAGCGUUAAUCGGAAUUACUGGGCGUAAAGGGUGCGCAGGCGGCCAUGUAAGUCAGAUGUGAAAUCCCCGAGCUCAACUUGGGAACUGCGUUUGAAACUGCAAGACUAGAAUAGGUCAGAGGGGGGUAGAAUUCCACGUGUAGCAGUGAAAUGCGCAGAUAUUGGGAGGAAAUAUCAAUGGCGAAGGCGAGCAUCCCGGGACCUAAAUAUUGACGCGCGUGCGCGAGU
rnacentral:rRNA from 1 species